rnacentral:rRNA from 1 species
AGUGAACGCUGGCGGUAGGCCUAACACAUGCAAGUCGAACGGCAGCACAGUAAGAGCUUGCUCUUACGGGUGGCGAGUGGCGGAUGGGUGAGGAAUACAUCGGAAUCUACUUUUUCGUGGGGGCUAACGUAGGGAAACUUACGCUAAUACCGCAUACGACCUACGGGUGAAAGCAGGGGAUCUUCGGACCUUGCGCGUUUGAAUGAGCCGAUGUCGGAUUAGCUAGUUGGCGGGGUAAAGGCCCACCAAGGCGACGAUCCGUAGCUGGUCUGAGAGGAUGAUCAGCCACACUGGAACUGAGACACGGUCCAGACUCCUACGGGAGGCAGCAGUGGGGAAUAUUGGACAAUGGGCGCAAGCCUGAUCCAGCCAUACCGCGUGGGUGAAGAAGGCCUUCGGGUUGUAAAGCCCUUUUGUUGGGAAAGAAAAGCAGCAGGUUAAUACCCCGCUGUUCUGACGGUACCCAAAGAAUAAGCACCGGCUAACUUCGUG